UACGGGGGGGGCAAGCGUUGUUCGGAAUUACUGGGCGUAAAGCGCGCGUAGGCGGAUCGCUAAGUCAGGGGUGAAAUCCCAGGGCUCAACCCUGGAACUGCCUUUGAUACUGACGAUCUGGAGAUCGGGAGAGGUUGGUGGAAUUCCGAGUGUAGAGGUGAAAUUCGUAGAUAUUCGGAGGAACACCAGAAGCGAAGGCGGCCAACUGGCCCGAUACUGACGCUGAGGCGCGAAGCG
rnacentral:rRNA from 1 species